rnacentral:lncRNA from 1 species
UUUACAAUAUUUUUAGCUACUAAAGCCUAGGUUAGAGCUUCUAUCAUGUAAGCACUUGCAUCUGGGGAAAUGCGAUCCACAGCGGCCGCUCUACCAGGCUUGCGACGAAGCACACUUCGUUGGGAUUCUCCAUGAGCUUCAUCGUGUUGAGGAGAUCGAAAGCUUGGUAGGAUUCGCUUUUGUGUGGGCGCAGUAGGCAUCAGGAAUCGUGCCCCAGGAGCCGAGAUUUCGCUCAGGCUGGCAACGCCGGUUUUUGAUCCAGAAAGAUCGCGUGUCCUUAUUUAUUCUUGUAGAACAGGUUGAUUCCAACGAGUUGAAUCUGAACCGCAUUGAAAUUUGUUACAUGCGGUGCUACCUUCAGAUGGGUUGGGACCGGCUUUUAUUGGUGAGAAAAAACUGGAAUGACAGGGGACUGAUCAUCUCUGAGAAGCAGGGAGUGAAGUGGGAGACUGUGUCGUACCGUGAUCAUGAGGAGUUUCAUAAUCCGUGGCUGUGGAG